GCCCCUAUAGUUCAAUGGAUAGAAUAUCAGGCUUCGAACCUGAAGAUGGGAGUUCGAUCCUCUCUGGGGGCACAA
rnacentral:tRNA from 1 species